AACGAACGCUGGCGGCAUGCCUAACACAUGCAAGUCGAACGAGACCUUCGGGUCUAGUGGCGCACGGGUGCGUAACGCGUGGGAAUCUGCCCUUGGGUUCGGAAUAACAGUUAGAAAUGACUGCUAAUACCGGAUAAUGUCUUCGGACCAAAGAUUUAUCGCCCAGGGAUGAGCCCGCGUAGGAUUAGCUAGUUGGUGAGGUAAAGGCUCACCAAGGCGACGAUCCUUAGCUGGUCUGAGAGGAUGAUCAGCCACACUGGGACUGAGACACGGCCCAGACUCCUACGGAGGCAGCAGUGGGGAAUAUUGGGCAAUGGGCGAAAGCCUGAUCCAGCAAUGCCGCGUGAGUGAUGAAGGCCUUAGGGUUGUAAAGCUCUUUUACCCGGGAUGAUAAUGACAGUACCGGGAGAAUAAGCCCCGGCUAACUCCGUGCCAGCAGCCGCGGUAAU
rnacentral:rRNA from 1 species